AUGACUUCUCCAAAAUUAGCUACAUAUACUCAAUCUCUUGCGCAUGGACUUUCAGGCCCAUCUUCCUUCAUUUGGCUUAAAUUCUUCUUAUUUUGGUUCCCUCAGGUCCCUGAUUUGUUUGCAUUAUGUUUCCUUUUCUUGAUGUAUGCUUCUUUUAUUAAUACUGGGUCUCAUAUUAUUUAUUAUAGAAAUACUUCCAAAUGGCUAUCUCGAACUGUGGUUACAAACUGGGAGCUGAUGACAUCUCUGGUGUCUAGGAACAGAAGGGAGAAUCCAUCUGUUGGCAGGAAGAGAAAAAAGAAGGUACACAAGGUACUGUAUGUUUGCAAUUUUUUUUUUCAAACACUGGAGACAGGAAAUGUUUGAGUUGAAGUGCUAAUGGUAAAUGUCUGAGUGUGUGCUCCGUAUUAUUGCAUGCAAAAAUUGCAUUUAAAAUGAACUUAGAGAUGACACUUUAAAUACUCAGUCCCCCCCCCAGCCAAACAAAACCAUUUUUUAAAAAUACAAACUAUACUAAUAAUGUGAAUGACAUGUUGGAAAAAUUAAGCUAGGUAUGCAGUGCUCUUUAAAAUGAUCACUGUCAUUUAAUCUGUUUCCACCAACAUUUUAGGUUCCCUGAUGCAGAGAGAAAUACAUAAUGAGAUAUGCUCAUUAAUGUGGAGUCUUAGGAUAUUUCUCUUUAUCGUUUAGGUGCUUUUAAAGAU
rnacentral:lncRNA from 1 species